UACGGGAGGCAGCAGGGGGGAAUAUUGCACAAUGGGCGCAAGCCUGAUGCAGCCAUGCCGCGUGUAUGAAGAAGGCCUUCGGGUUGUAAAGUACUUUCAGUCGUGAGGAAGGUGUUAAGGUUAAUAACCUUAGCAAUUGACGUUAGCGACAGAAGAAGCACCGGCUAACUCCGUGCCAGCAGCCGCGGUAAUACGGAGGGUGCGAGCGUUAAUCGGAAUUACUGGGCGUAAAGGGCACGCAGGCGGUUAAUUAAGUUGGAUGUGAAAUCCCCGGGCUUAACCUGGGAAUGGCAUUCAAGACUGGUUAGCUAGAGUCUUGUAGAGGGGGUAGAAUUCCAUGUGUAGCGGUGAAUGCGUAGAGAUGUGGAGGAAUACCGGUGGCGAAGGCGGCCCCUGGACAAAGACUGACGCUCAUGUGCGAAGCGUGGGGAGCAAACGAGGAUUAGAUACC
rnacentral:rRNA from 1 species